ACAACAGAAACACGAUACCCACUCGAAUUGCCUUCAACAAUUUGACCGCAGUUGCAAAAUACCAUGGUUUUAGGUCGAGGUGAAUUUAUCAGCUCCGGCAUCCAAAGCAGGUACAGGAGAUGGGCACGAAGGAACACAAUCCAAAAGGUAACCCCCGCACACCACACCGAAUGUUGUAGCAGCACACUGUGGGUAGGCACCACCUUCUAGACCGAUCACAGCAUGUGCACGGAGAGCAUUGGCGGAAGUCGCCGAGUAUUCGUCGAGUGGAAUUCAUGAUAUGCUUGUGAAGAGUGUCAGAGGCUGGGAAGAGCUGCAACUCAGUCCCAUUCGAGAGUUUCACCAC
rnacentral:lncRNA from 1 species